UUUUAAAGCAGGCGGACAAGAGGUGCGUACCAUGCUUCCAAGCCACGGAAGACCGUAUAACCACAUCUAUCUUAGUAUGACGACUAAAGAAUAUUAAAGUAGUAGUGCUUCUACACAAGAUAAACAAAUCAAUUGCUGAUAAAACUACGUCCGGAAUCAAACCAAAAAAUACCGACGUCCAAGUAUUAUUAGACCCAACGUGGUUGACGAAAACCAACCACUACUGACGGUACGUCAAGAGCGGUACAAACUUGGUGAGAAGUGUACCUGUAGGGAUACGAGGAAUAGAAUGACCAGUAGUAAUAACAACUAAUAAAGAGGAAGGCAAGAAAAUACAAUAGGUUACCUAUAAGAGAAUGAUGUAUAUAAAGACCUCCUGAUUUCUCGUACGGUAGGGACUAAUUUGUAACCAACACAACUAUCUAAUUUGGGGUUACCAAAGAUAUACUUACAAGAAAGUAGGUUAAUUAGUAAACAAAUCAAAGUCUAUAAUCUGGGUUUAAACAAAUACGUAACCUGAUCUUUAUCGUGUUGACGUUAUAAAAAAAUAAUUUAAAGUGUCAUUUCAAAAACGUCGACUACAGGGUGACAUGCGUCUGUGGUGUAAGACCAAUCGGAGUAUGAUACCUCUACCAACUGCUCUACAUGCCGUUAUCAAAGUCCACCACUCGGCUCUACACGACCGUUCCGGUUUCUCAGCCAAGCGAAUCUAGUCCGACGACCUCCGAGAACGUGAGCGUACAGACGACCUCUAUGCGUCAUCCUUUCGUAACUGGAUAAUGCGAACUAGACUUCAGUAGCCGAAAACUGGGUUUCCUCUUUCAUACCUGUUCCAAGGGUGACCUUCCGAGUCUUAUGUGGGGAGGUGUCUCAAGAACACUAAAGUCUACCUUUCUAAUGACGGAGGUUCAUAAGACCAACAAGUUCCAACUACGUUGUCUAACAUACGAUAGGGAAACACCCCUGGUCCGAGAGGCUCCCGAGAGUAGGGGACCAUUCUCACCUUCGAAGAAAAUAGAGUGCUCGUUAAUAGUAAUGUACUCUUUCUGCUACUUCUUUAUCCCUUAUUUCCAUGAUACAACGGAUAAGUCCCUGGAGUGGAAGUACUCUGACCCCAUCUACAAUCUUUCCUCUCUACUACACUCAAAGACUUCAAGUGACAUCUUCCCGUUCUACACCCGACACGUUAGCGCUACAUAACUAGCCACGUGGUCCGUGCAUAUAUAUUCAUGUCUCCACCCGGUGUUGGAGUUGAUAUGUCUCCUUUGUCCUCCACCCGGGAUACGUGUUUGUAUAUGC
rnacentral:rRNA from 1 species